ACGGAGGGUGCAAGCGUUGUUCGGAAUCACUGGGCUUAAAGGGCGCGCAGGCGGAUUGGUAAGUCAGUGGUGAAAGCUCACGGCUUAACCGGGGAAUUGCCUUUGAUACUGUCAGACUUGAGUACCAGAGGGGAAAGUGGAAUUUCCGGUGUAGAGGUGAAAUGCGUAGAUAUCGGGAGGAAUACCGAUGGCGAAGGCGGCUUUCUGGAUGGAUACUGACGCUGAGGCGCGAAAGCGUGGGGAGCAAACAG
rnacentral:rRNA from 1 species